rnacentral:lncRNA from 1 species
UCUCCCUGCCCUCUGCUGGAAAUCCCAUAACUAGGAAAAGGAAAUAGUCCACCUUUUAUGUUUACCUCCCAGCUCAGCAGGUUUUUUUUUUUUUUUUUUUCUUUUUCUUUUUUCACUCUAGAGCCCUGGCUCUCUGCCUGCCUGCCUGUCACACCCUGCGACCCUUCAAUACAGUUCCUCAGGCUGUGGAAACCCCAAAACAGUUAUUUCACCCCCAUAACUAUAAUUUUGUCACUGUUAUAAAUCACAAUGUAAGCAACUCUUUUUCCAGUGGUCUUAUGGGGGUCUUGGCCCACAGGAUUGAGAACUGCCGCUGUAGAGAACUUUUUUUUUUCCUGAGACAGGGUCUCAUGUAGCCCAGGCUGGCCACAGACUUGCUGUGUAGCUGAGGAAGGUCUUGAAUUUCUGAUCCUUCUGUCUCUACCUCCAAGUCCUGGGAUGGGUGUGUGUCAGCAUGGUCUGUUUUAUCCACUGCUGCAGAUGGAGCCCAGGGCUUUAUGUGCAGUGUUUCAACACUAUCAAAGGAGCCACACCCCAUCCCUCCAUAAGCACCCAAGUGUAACACGCACGCACAUGCACACACACAGACACACAUGCAUGCACACACACAUGCAUACACGCACAAACACACAGGGCAGGAUCAUUUUGUAUGGCUCUUUACUAAUUUGUCACUUUUAAAUUAAAAAAAAAAGUUAGAGAAAAUGAUCGAAUGUCAGUGUCUUAGUCUGUAGCACAGACUGGUCACCUUGUGACCAACAGAAACUCACUUCUCAGGGUUCUGGGGGCUGUGAUUGUAGAUCAGGGUGCUGGCAGCUUUGGUGCCUGGAGGGGCUUCCCUUUGUGGUUUCUACCAGACUGUUUUCACUGUCUCCCAUAGCAGAGAGCCAUUCUCCCUCUCUCAGUCCCCACCUCACCUCCAGAGCCCGCUGCACUGGGGUUCAGGUUUCAGCACUGAUGGAUCUCUGUACCCAGGUGAUAACGCUUAGUGAGGGGUUUUCAAAGACUCACCUUUGGAAUCUUUGAAAGGUGAGAAUGAGGGCUGGCAGUGUGGUCCAGUAGGUAGGGUGUCUGCCUUGCAUGCACAAGGCCCUGGGUUCUGCCCCCAGUACUACAUAAACCAAAUAUAAUGGUGCAAGCCUAUAAUCCUGGCAGUUGGGAGCUGGAGGCAAUGGGAUCAGGAGUCCAAGGCUAUCCUCGGCUGUUUGAAGCUAGCCUGAACUACAUAAGACCCUGUCUCAAAAUAAAAUAAAAUAAAAUAAAAUAAAAUAGCGAAAGUGUAUCUGGAUCUUCACUGUUCCAAGUUGAAAGCUUUAUAAUCCUGGCUGACUGAAAACAAAACAGGGUCGGUUCAUAAGAGUGACUUCUUGCUGAUUUCAAGUCAGUUCAUCUCCACAAAGGGAGACCAAGUCAAAGAUCUGACAUCUGAUUUGGAUUAGACAUCCAAGUCAAGGUGUCUAAAGAUAGGAUUAAAUUCUCUUAAUAAAAGCUUAAUGUGUGUGGGUGUUUGUCUGCGUGUAUGACCGCAUCAUGCACACGUGUGUCUGAUGCCCAAGAAGGCCGGAAGAGGGCUUCAUUAUCUCCUGGAGCUGGGGUUACAGAUGGGCCUGAGCUGCAAUGUCAGUGCCGGGAUUCGAACCUGGACCAAGUUCUCUUCAACCACUGAGGCGUUCCUCACCAUCCCUGAAGAUAGGGUCUUGCAAAUUGAGAACCCGCUUGCUUGAAAUUCCUUGUUUGUAGAGGCUCUGAGGAGGUAGAAGUGGACCUCAGACUUGAUGUGUUCAGCAUGCACCUCGGGGCUAACAGGGUCAGCCAGGGUGACACCCAGGCAGUGUGGAGCAGGCCUGGCAGACGCAGAACUGGGAGCCCCCUGAGGGGACCACACAGGUGGGCAGGGCUGCCUGGGAGCCCCUGGAGAACCAUCUCAGGAGUCCAGUGGUUUGACUGUAGGCCCUGGCGCAUCUUCACACAGGGCUGCCAACCAGUCUGCACUCAGGAAAUUGUGCUUUGAACUGUGACCUCCCCUGAGCUAGUCUUGUGUGAUCUGAUCGUGACUCCUGGGGACACUUAUUGGGGUGUGGCUACCAGUCACCCCACAAUCCUAGGCAAGACAGCAGGUACUUCACAGCGCACCAUCUGGCCGAACCAAGGAUUUCAGUAGGGCUUUGCACCUGAUAAAAUUUCCUUUUAGGGUGUUAUGAUUGGUUUCUCUUAUUUCCAGUAGGCGAUCAGGUGUCUAGCAAGUGGCCAAGUGGCCAGCAGGUGACCCAGUAUCCCCUUUUCCUAGUUUAACCACAGUUAUCAAGUCAGCCCUCUCCAAAGACUUGUCUCCUCUACUCCCUUAAAACUAAGCUUUAUGAGAAGUGGGGCGCCUUUCUUCCUCACUGCUGGGAUCUCAUGCAGCCCUACAGCCUUGAGUCAUCUCUGACGGCCCCCACCCCCUCACACCCCGCCCCCGAUCAUGCUGGGCCAAGGCUUUGUGCGCUCAGGGCCCACACUCUGUCAACUGAGCCACCUCCAGCCCUGGAAAGCCCUUUGCCUUGUUGCAUGUGUCUUGCCAGCAGGUGAGUGGUUGUGAGGAGUUUGAUUGUGGAAGUGUCUCAGCCUGGUUCUGCAGGUCAGACAAGGUGUCUGACAGGUCUCAGACAUCAGAUGAGACUGUAGCGCAGCCACGGGGCUCCUGUCAGAUCCGGUCACCAGUGUGCUUCCUUCAGGCUGUACAUAGGAGUCAGGGUUCUCCAAGAGCCGAACUGGAGACAUUUAUAUAUGAGGGGGAUUAAUUAGAAUGGCUUGCAGGCUCCCUGCUGUCCAUUUAGUCCAACUGGCUGUCUACCCGCCGAAGGUCCAGGAACGCAGUGAUUGUUCCGUCCACAAGGCUGCGGAUCUCAGCUGGUCUUCAGUAGAUACUGGAAUCCUGAAGUUGUAGGCUCUAACGCAGGAAGGAAUGAACUUUGCUAUCCAGAGCAAAGGCAAGCAGGCAGAGAGAGCAAGCUUAUUUCUUCCAUGUCCUUUCUAUUGGCUGCCAGCAGAAGGUGUGGCCUAGAUUAAAGGAGGAUCUUCCCACUUCAGAAGGCCCAGAUUAGAAGUGAGUCUUCCCAUUUCAAAUGACUUAAUUAAGG